rnacentral:rRNA from 1 species
AACCGACCUGGCUCACACCGGUUUAAACUCAGAUCAUGUAAAAUUUUAAAGGUCGAACAGACCUAAUUUAUUAACUUYUUCGCCAAUAAUAUAUUUUAAUCCAACAUCGAGGUCGCAAACUUUUCUUUCGAUAAGAACUCUAAAAAAAAUUACGCUGUUAUCCCUAAGGUAAUUUAAUCUUAUAUUCCAAAAUAUUAGGAUCCUAUAAUCAUAAAUCAAUGUUUUAUCUAAAAAAAAGUUUAAUAAAUUUUUCUAUCACCCCAAUAAAAUACUUUAAUAAAAAUUAAUCUUAAAUUCUUCCUUAUUCAAUUUCUUUUAAAAUAUUAAACUCUAUAGGGUCUUCUCGUCUUCUAUAAAAAUUUAAGCUUUUUAACUUAAAAAUAAAAUUCUACAAAAAUUUUAAAGAGACAGUCAUUUUUUCAUCAAACCCUUCAUACAAGCUUUCAAUUAAAAAACUAAUGAUUAUGCUACCUUUGCACGGUCAAUAUACCGCGGCCGUUUAAAUCCUCAAUGGGCAGGUCAAACUUGAAAUUAUAAUCAACAAGCCAUGUUUUUAAUA